UACGUAGGGUGCAAGCGUUGUCCGGAAUUAUUGGGCGUAAAGAGCUCGUAGGCGGUCUGUCGCGUCGGCUGUGAAAACUCGGGGCUCAACUCCGAGCUUGCAGUCGAUACGGGCAGGCUAGAGUGCGGCAGGGGAGACUGGAAUUCCUGGUGUAGCGGUGAAAUGCGCAGAUAUCAGGAGGAACACCGGUGGCGAAGGCGGGUCUCUGGGCAACAACUGACGCUGAGGAGCGAAAGCGUGGGGAGCGAACAGG
rnacentral:rRNA from 1 species